GCGGGACACACAACAUGUGAAUGUAAAAAUUAAAAAAAAAGUAAAAUAAAACGCGCAUAUUGCUCUUUAAUAGGACCCGAAGUGGCAUAUUAAAUUUAUGAACAUUAUCCCGUUAGGUAUCUCACAGCAGUUUACAGAUCUAUGGGACUAUGUGUUUUGUUUACAUCAUGACUCACUGGUAAACAUGAAUGGCCUUGGUCCAACAAACAUUACGUCAGCUUUAAAAUAACCCCCAAAAAUCCCAGUGUUUACUUUGACUAGUCACGUAAAAUCCCUUCUAUGUUAACAAGAGGGAAUUUUUGAGAGUUAUUUUAGCCAUGUUUUCGCCAGUCAUUGAAGUUAUGAGCAAUUUACUUGAAAAAUUCCUGAUCACUUAAAAUACCCAUCAUUGUAUGUUGGGAAUUUCCCAGUCAUGUGAUUUGAUUAACAUAAAAGGCGCUGUAGAGAAAAAUUCUGAACUAAUUCGUGACUGGAGUACAAACUGUUGCACCGUACGCGUUAGCAAACAAUUGUUUCAUCUAGCAUUAGGAGCCAUGGCUUUCAGGCGCAAUCGAAGCGAGAGGGACGGAGAUCGGAGCAGACGACAGGACAAAGAUGAAGAAUUGCGGGCAGCUAUGCGGGGAGAUUGGAAACACGUGGAAGACCCACACCUUCGGCGAGUAUACAAAUCGAAGGGGCCAAACUUCUCAGGUCUUCUUCUCGCUGGAUUAGUCGCCAAUGUUGCCACGCCAAGUCAGUACGAUUCACACGACAGCGACAGCGAAGGGCCAAGCAGCGAAGUUGACAGAAAGCCGCUUAAGAGGCGCCAUAGGCGUAGCCGGGGAUCGGAAAACUCAGAAUUCUCUGAAACGCGCUGGGGUGGAUCUCAGUCAAACCAAUAUUCUACAGUGUAUGGUCCAGAUAAUGACAACUCAGUUAAACUGUCAGGUUCGGAAAAUUCGGAAGAUCCGUUACUGCCUAAAACUAAAAAGAGCCUUUUCAAACGUGUCCGGUUGAGCGGCGUUUUUCGCGGUUUGGGUGGUGCAGCAGCAGUAGCAGUGGUGGGAAUAUUUCUUUUGGUGUUGUUACUGUAGCCGAGCUUGAUUGUUUGGAUAGGCGAGUCAGAAAGAUAGGGAGCGGUCACGAGCCACCCUACCCCUUUAUCAUUUCAAAAUGACGGGUUCAACCUCCCCUCUUCCUCGCCUAGUAGGAGAGAAACCAAACUUUGGGUCAACACAAAUGUAUAUUGUAUAAGUGCUCAUGUGUCUGUGGUUUGAGGGAAAGGGGGACACCCCUCUUCUUUUUACCUUUUUUAAAAUGUGGUUUUGUUAAAAUCCAUUUGUUAUAAUAUAACUAUAGUUUUCAAUAUCAGAAACAUUUGUAUUAUUGGCUCGUUGAAAGUCAUCAGUACUGUAUAUUGAGGUGGCUUUUUGUUAACGUUUAAAAUGAUCGAAGUGUGAAAAAAGCGAAUUAUAAAUAAAUAUUACUAAUUAAAGCUUUUGCAGCUAUAACCGUUUAUUUAAUGAGAGCAUUUGAUGAUUUUUAUCGAAAUGGUGCUUUCUGAUAAACAAUGUCGAUUUGCCGCUUUACUUUUGAUGAUUAUCUUUUUUAAUAUUUUUGAAAAUUUUAGUAAUAAAAAUAUGCAAUGUUUCAUCAUAUCAGCUUUGGGCUAUUUUUUGUAACUGCUAUAAAUUGUAGUUUAGUUUCAAACUUCAGGUAACAAUUAUGUGAAAGUAAACAUAACCCAUCAGUUUUACUCAUGUCAUGUUAAUGAAGUAAUAAAUUUAAUGGGUA